UUCUUCCCCACCCAGUGGGACCCCAGAGCCAGGAGAGUCCUGCCAUGGCCCUGCUGCUGUGACCACCCCCGUGUCACCCACAGGGUUGGGCUCAACGCUCUGGUGACAACUUGAGCCCAGACUGUCCAAAAUAAGGAAAGAAAACCCUAUUAAAACCCUAUUAAAGUAUCUGACUGCCAUGGAGGAAGAGUGAGGGAUGCAAACCCAGACCCCAAACCCAAGAGCUGCUCCAGUUGUCAGGGCCAACCUCCCCAGCGGCACCGACCUGACCCGUGCGAGCACUCCCUGGAAAACUUGCCGGGAUUUUAGCGGUGUGGCAUAACCUCACGACAAGGGAAUGCACUGCUGGAAGCACAGGCAGGCUCCGGGAUGACUGAGACGGAGCGAACCUCACACGCAGAGCCCCGGGCAAGCGGCAGCGUCUGCAGCAGGAGCCGGCGAGCUCCGAGCUUUGCAGAGUCAUCCGAUCCCGGCAUUGUCCCCAGCCACGGCACCUGCAGCUGCCACCACCAAACCCUCGCUCUCGCAUUCUCCCGGCUGCUCUUUGAGGCAGUUUUCGGCACUGCUGACACAUCGCAGCCUCGGACUCAACGGCCGGCGGCAGGAGAAGGGGCAGCCCCUGGAAAGCCAUAUUUUUCCACGUGAGCAUGGGUGCACCAUCCCGGGGUGAUGCCCCCCGAGCCUACCUCUGCCUGCUCCGGCUCCUGCCGUGCUCAGGAAGUCGGCACUCGCCUCUAAGGAAGUUUCUGCUUUACGUGCCCCAAAAGCACCCAGCAGCGCACACCACAGCCUGCGACAUCGCCCGCUGCCACCCCGUCACUGUCACCGUCACCUUGCCCAUGGCUCGCUGGCCACGGGGAUGCAGAAAUCAAGUUUAAAAUAACAACUCUGGUCCAUCCUUCG